AGGGGAGGGGGCGGAUCGCGUCUUCCUUCCUCCCUCCAUCCCGAGCAGGCGGUUUGACAUUGCCGCCCCUCCGGAGCGGGCGGAGCUAUCAGGGGAGGGCGGGGCUCCCAGGAGAAGGCGAGGAGGAGGGACCGAUCCUGUCCGGUAGCGCCCUCCUAACAGGAACUCCGGUGACGGCCUGUCACGGAGCGACAGGCRUCUGCAAGGAUUGGGAAAUGCUCUGGAGUUAUAAAUAAUACACUGGUAGCAGAGUUGGGAUGGAUAGUUAACAGAUGAGCUGUGAAAAAAAAAAUUGCUGUGCUACAUCUAGAGAUCCCCUCGACAUCUGUAUUUUGGUCAUUUAUCUGGGUAUAACAAAUGAGACAGAUGUGAGGAUUCUCUCUAGCRAUGGAUGAGUAAGACUCCCCUGAAGAGUGAGAGAGGAUAUACUAGUGAAACAAAUUCUUUCAAAUGUAUCCUGACUUAAAAAUAAAAGGYCUCCUUUACCAUGACUACUUCUCACAGCCAUUUAGUGUGCUGCUAAUUGCAA